rnacentral:rRNA from 1 species
CCUACGGGUGGCAGCAGUGAGGAAUAUUGGUCAAUGGACGAGAGUCUGAACCAGCCAAGUAGCGUGAGGGAUGACUGCACUGUGGAUUGUAAACUUCUUUUAUCAAGGAAUAAAACGAGGCACGUGUGCCUUUUUGCGUGUACUUUAUGAAUAAGGAUCGGCUAACUCCGUGCCAGCAGCCGCGGUAAUACGGAGGAUCCGAGCGUUAUCCGGAUUUAUUGGGUUUAAAGGGAGCGUAGAGGGGUUGUUAAGUCAGUUGGGAAAGUUUGCGGCUCAACCGUAAAAGUGCAAUUGAUACUGGCAGGCGUGAGUAGAGUUGAGGUAGGCGGAAUGCGUGGUGUAGCGGUGAAAUGCUUAGAUAUCACGAAGAACCCCGAUUGCGAAGGCAGCUUACCAACCUGUGACUGACAUUGAUGCUCGAAAGUGUGGGUAUCGAACAGGAUUAGAUACCCGAGUAGUC